rnacentral:rRNA from 1 species
UACGUAGGCAGCAAGCGUUGUUCGGAGUUACUGGGCGUAAAGGGUGUGUAGGCGGUUUGGUAAGUCUGGUGUGAAAUCUCCCGGCUCAACUGGGAGGGUGCGCCGGAAACUGCCGGACUAGAGUGCGGGAGAGGAGAGUGGAAUUCCUGGUGUAGCGGUGAAAUGCGUAGAUAUCAGGAGGAACACCGGUGGUGCAGACGGCUCUCUGGACCGUAACUGACGCUGAGACACGAAAGCGUGGGUAGCAAACAGG